rnacentral:rRNA from 1 species
UACGUAGGGCGCAAGCGUUGUCCGGAAUUAUUGGGCGUAAAGAGCUCGUAGGCGGCUUGUCACGUCGGGUGUGAAAGCCCGGGGCUUAACCGCGGGUCUGCAUUCGAUACGGGCUAGCUAGAGUGUGGUAGGGGAGAUCGGAAUUCCUGGUGUAGCGGUGAAAUGCGCAGAUAUCAGGAGGAACACCGGUGGCGAAGGCGGGUCUCUGGGCCGAUAUUGACGCUGAGGAGCGAAAGCGUGGGGAGCGAACAGG